GAAACUGGUGCUAAUACCGAAUGGUCUUCAUAGCUGUUGGGCUAUGGAGUAAAGGUGGCCUCUUCAUGAAAGCUACCGUGUAGGGAUGAGCCUGCGUACCAUUAGCUAGUAGGUGGGGUAAUGGCCCACCUAGGCUACGAUGGUUAGCGNGUCUGAGAGGAUGAUCCGCCACACUGGAACUGGAACACGGACCAGACUCCUACGGGAGGCAGCAGUGAGGAAUAUUGCGCAAUGGGGGAAACCCUGACGCAGCGACGCCGCGUGGGUGAGGAAGGUUUUCGGAUCGUAAAGCUCUGUCAGAAGGGAAGAAGUGUUAUACAGUUAAUACCUGUAUAAUUUGACGGUACCUUCAGAGGAAGCACCGGCUAACUCCGUGCCAGCAGCCGCGGUAAUACGGAGGGUGCAAGCGUUGUUCGGAAUUACUGGGCGUAAAGGGCGCGUAGGCGGCCUGAUAAGUCAGAUGUGAAAGUCCACGGCUCANCCGUGGAAGUGCAUUUGAACUGUCAGGCUUGAGUAUCGGAGGGGAGUGUGGAAUUCCCGGUGUA
rnacentral:rRNA from 1 species